CCCUUUUCGUAUUGACAACAAUAAUAUUCCGUACACUGCAACGUCGUAGGUAUUGGUUAAAAUACAUUACGGCUUUCUACACUUUCGCGCGCGACUCUUUUACCGACAAUUUUACUCCGACUUAUAUUGAUAGCGAAUGUUCCGCGUGGUCGCAGGUACCGUUUCUACACCGAGUAUUAUCGCGGGUGAAUCGGUCUUCUCCGUCAACGCAUUUGUCCCUUUCUGUACCAGGUAUACGGAAUUUCAUA